ensembl:rRNA 5S_rRNA 5S ribosomal RNA
CUCUGUGGGCAUGCUACCCUGAACAAGCCUGAUCCUGUUUGAUCUCAGAAGCUAAGCAUGCUUGGGCCUGGUUAGUACUUGGAUGGGAGACCAUCUAGGAGUACCAGGUGCUGUAGGCA